rnacentral:rRNA from 1 species
AUUCACCUACGGGAGGCAGCAGUGGGGAAUAUUGGGCAAUGGGCGCAAGCCUGACCCAGCAACGCCGCGUGAAGGAAGAAGGCUUUCGGGUUGUAAACUUCUUUUCUCAGGGACGAAGAAAGUGACGGUACCUGAGGAAUAAGCCACGGCUAACUACGUGCCAGCAGCCGCGGUAAUACGUAGGGGGCAAGCGUUAUCCGGAUUUACUGGGUGUAAAGGGAGCGUAGACGGUAUGGCAAGUCUGAUGUGAAAACCCGGGGCUCAACCUCGGGACUGCAUUGGAAACUGUCGGACUAGAGUGUCGG